UUUUUCACUUACACCGAAAAGACGUCUGUGUAAAUCAGACUACCCUG
rnacentral:tRNA from 1 species